rnacentral:snRNA from 1 species
CUUAUCACCAUCUGAAUUUCCUU